GAUGAAGAACGUAGCGAAAUGCGAUAAGUAAUGUGAAUUGCAGAAUUCCGUGAAUCAUCGAAUCUUUGAACGCACAUUGCGCCCCCUGGCAUUCCGGGGGGCAUGCCUGUCCGAGCGUCAUUUCUGCCCUCCAGCCCGGCUGGGUGUUGGGCGCUGUCCCCCCGGGGACACGCCCCAAAGGCAGUGGCGGCGCCGCGUCGGGUCCUCGAGCGUAUGGGGCUUUGUCACCCGCUCGGGACGGACUCGUCGGCGCUGGUCUUCCUCCAGGCGACCCUUCGGGGCCCGUCUUCCUUCGGUUGACCUCGGAUCAGGUAGGGUUACCCGCUGAACUUAAGCAUAUCAAUAAGCGGAGGA
rnacentral:misc_RNA from 1 species